CUUCUGUAUGAAUAAGACUUCAGACUUCACACCUCACUAGUGCUGCACUGAAUUUCCAAGUGCAUACGGCGUGAGCUAUAGGCUACACUCUUCCACUUACCUCAUUGACAAGUAAGAGGCCCAAAGUUUGCUUCAACAGAUAUCCAACAUUUCAGCAGAAGGACACCAGGACACUACUCUCUGUAUGCUUUUCCUCUUCAAGGUCACCACAGGACUGGGGCAUGGAGACUGCAGCAACAGCCAGCAGAGCUGACAGAGUGAAGGACCAGCUCCCUCCAUCCCAGUGAACACGUGAAUCCAAGCUGCAGCUGCAGCUUAAUACUCCCCUAGGCCUCAAAGGGACCAUAGCUUCACCAGGCCUAAAACCAGUAGUAACUGGAAUGAAAAAAGCUGUAUGGAGGCUGCAGGACCAAUUCUGCCCACCCAAAGGCUUCCUCGUCUGCCCAUGGACCCCACUGGCUUGCACUCUGGAAAUCUAUGAGUCGUGA
rnacentral:lncRNA from 1 species